rnacentral:rRNA from 1 species
GACGGAGGGUGCUAGCGUUGUUCGGAAUGACUGGGCGUAAAGGGCGCGUAGGCGGCUCGUGAAGUCGGGUGUGAAAGCCCGGGGCUCAACCCCGGAACGGCAUCCGAUACUGGCGGGCUUGAGACCGGGAGAGGAGGGUGGAAUACCCAGUGUAGAGGUGAGAUUCGUAGAUAUUGGGUGGAACACCGGUGGCGAAGGCGGCCAGCUGGACCUGUACUGACGCUCAUGCACGAAAGCGUGGGGAGCAAACAGG